rnacentral:rRNA from 1 species
AUUGAACGCUGGCGGCAGGCCUAACACAUGCAAGUCGAGCGGAUGAAGGGAGCUUGCUCCUGGAUUCAGCGGCGGACGGGUGAGUAAUGCCUAGGAAUCUGCCUGGUAGUGGGGGAUAACGUCCGGAAACGGGCGCUAAUACCGCAUACGUCCUGAGGGAGAAAGUGGGGGAUCUUCGGACCUCACGCUAUCAGAUGAGCCUAGGUCGGAUUAGCUAGUUGGUGGGGUAAAGGCCUACCAAGGCGACGAUCCGUAACUGGUCUGAGAGGAUGAUCAGUCACACUGGAGCUGAGACACGGUCCUGACUCCUACGGGAGGCAGCAGUGGGGAAUAUUGGACGAUGGGCGAAAGCCUGAUUCAGCCAUGCCGCGUGUGUGAAGAAGGUCUUCGGAUUGUAAAGCGCUUUAAGUUGGGAGGAAGGGCAGUAAGUUAAUACCUUGCUGUUUUGACGUUACCAACAGAAUAAGCACCGGCUAACUUCGUG